rnacentral:rRNA from 1 species
AUUAAAGUUGCUGCAGUUAAAACGCUCGUAGUUUGAGUUAUUUCGGUGUCAGGCUGGCUGGAAAAUUUAAUUUUUCAAGCUGUCUGGUGCCGAAUUAAAGUUUGGGUAGAGCAGAUUAAUUUCUCUCUAUCCAUUUAACCUUGAAAAAACAUUGUCGCUCAAAAAAGGACGGAAAAGUCUAUUGAGAUUUCAGCAUGGGAUUAUGAAAAAAGGGGGGCGGGUGCGAAAGGGGGUAAAAGCCCGAUUGGCUCGUUUCCAAUGGUUAAUGAGGACGAUGCGUGGGAGUUCAUAUUAACAAGUCAGAGGUGAAAUUCUUGGAUUUUAUUAAGAUGAACAUCAGCGAAGGCGUUCUUCAAGUGCGUGCCUGUCGAUCAAGAACGAAAGUUGGGGGAUCGAAGACGAUCAGAUACCGUCGUAGUCUCAACCUUAAACUAUGCCGACUAUGAAUAGGAUAUCGUUUUAAGAAGGGCGUCAAAAACCCUUCUGAUGACUUCUCCUGCGCAUUAAAAGAAAUUAAGAGUUUUUGGGUUCCGGGGGGAGUAUAGUCGCAAGGCCGAAACUUAAAGGAAUUGACGGAAGGGCACCACCAGGUGUGGAGCCUGCGGCUUAAUUUGACUCAACACGGGGAAACUUACCAGGUCCAGACAGCGUGAGGAUUGACAGAUUGAUAGCUCUUUCAUGAUUCGUUGGGUGGUGGUGCAUGGCCGUUCUUAGUUGGUGGUGUGAGUUGUCUGGUUGAUUCCGUUAACGAACGAGACCUUCGUUGUAUAAUACGAGGCGCUAGUUUUUGCGUCAAGGGUAGUGGCUCCUUCUUGAGAUACGAGCAAUCGCCUUGGGAAAAGGGUCAUUACUUGCAUAGCUAGCGUCAGUUUCGUUCUAUACAAGACAAAUACAGAAAAUGUAUUGGAAGUUGUAGGCAAAAACAGGUCUGUGAUGCCCUUCGAUGUUCUGGGCUGCACGCGCGCUACAAUGACAAUGUCAGCGAGUUUUUUAGCUUGGGCGAAAGCUCUGGCAAAUCUUCGAAACGUUGUCGUACUAUGGAUUGUUGAUUGCAACUAUUCGACAUAAAACAGGAAUACCUAGUAGACGUGCUUCAUCAGAGUACGUCGAUUACGUCCCUGCCCUUUGUACACACCGCCCGUCGCUCCUACCGAUUGGAACAUACGGUGAAAAUCUCGGAGAGUGCAGUUCUCGAUGGGUAGUUCGCUGUUCAUCUCCUGUGUUCAAAGUUAUU